GACGAACGCUGGCGGCGUGCUUAACACAUGCAAGUCGAACGGUAAGGCCCUUCGGGGUACACGAGUGGCGAACGGGUGAGUAACACGUGGGUGAUCUGCCCUGCACUUCGGGAUAAGCCUGGGAAACUGGGUCUAAUACCGGAUAGGACUCCUGGCUUCAUGGUUGGGGGUGGAAAGCUUUUGCGGUGUGGGAUGGGACCGCGGCCUAUCAGCUUGUUGGUGGGGUAAUGGCCUACCAAGGCGACGACGGGUAGCCGGCCUGAGAGGGUGACCGGGCACACUGGGACUGAGAUACUGCCCAGACUCCUACGGGAGGCAGCAGUGGAGAAUAUUGCACAAUGGGCGCCAGCCUGAUGCAGCGACGCCGCGUGAGGGAUGACGGCCUUCGGGUUGUAAACCUCUUUCAGCUAUGACGAAGCGCAAGUGACGGUAGUAGCAGAAGAAGGACCGGCCAACUACGUGCCAGCCGCCGCGGUAACAC
rnacentral:rRNA from 1 species